rnacentral:rRNA from 1 species
CCUACGGGUGGCAGCAGUGGGGAAUAUUGGACAAUGGGCGAAAGCCUGAUCCAGCCAUGCCGCGUGUGUGAAGAAGGCCUUCGGGUUGUAAAGCACUUUCAGUGGGGAAGAAAGCCUUGGGGCUAAUACCCUCGAGGAAGGACAUCACCCACAGAAGAAGCACCGGCUAACUCCGUGCCAGCAGCCGCGGUAAUACGGAGGGUGCGAGCGUUAAUCGGAAUUACUGGGCGUAAAGCGCGCGUAGGCGGUCUGAUAAGCCGGUUGUGAAAGCCCCGGGCUCAACCUGGGAACGGCAUCCGGAACUGUCAGGCUAGAGUGCAGGAGAGGAAGGUAGAAUUCCCGGUGUAUCGGUGAAAUGCGUAGAGAUCGGGAGGAAUACCAGUGGCGAAGGCGGCCUUCUGGACUGACACUGACGCUGAGGUGCGAAAGCGUGGGUAGCAAACAGGAUUAGAUACCCCGGUAGUC